GUACACGCUGUGACUAGCAUAUCAAUAAGCGGAGGAAAAGAAACUAACAAGGAUUCCCCUAGUAACGGCGAGGUGAAGCGGGAAGAGCUCAAAUUUGAAAUCUUAAAGGGUUUCCCUUUACGAAUUGUAGUUUAAAGAAGUGUUUUCUGUUGAGGUUUUGGUAAAAGUUCUUUGGAAUAGGACAUCAUAGAGGGUGAGAAUCCCGUAUUUGACCUUUACUUUCAACUUUGUGAUACACUUUCAAAGAGUCGGAUUGUUUGGGAAUGCAGUCCAAAAUGGGUGGUAAAUUUCAUCUAAAGCUAAAUAUUGGCGAGAGACCGAUAGCGAACAAGUACCGUGAGGGAAAGAUGAAAAGAACUUUGAAAAGAGAGUUAAACAGUACGUGAAAUUGUCAAAAGGGAAGUGUUUGACACCAGUGUUGUUUUUCUGAAAAUCAAUUAAAGAACUGUUUAUGCUAAGUUGUUUAGACUUUAUCAGCUAACUGUUUAGUUUUGAGCUUUUCUUUAAUGCACUUUUCAGUUAACAAGUACAACAUCAAUUUCUUUUGCUGUAAAAAAGCUUGAGGAAGGUGGCUUGAGAUUCGUCUUAAGUGUUUAUAGCCUCUUGCCUAUGCAGUCGGAGAGAUUGAGGUCUGCAGCGUAGAUCCUUCGGGGCUAAAUGCAUUUGUGCUAAGUUAUAGCAUUUAUAGACAACUUGUUGACUAUGAUUUGUCUUGUAGCUUACUCGCUUAUGUUAUUUUACCUACGCUUAGGAUGUUGACAGCAGUAUAGACUGUA
rnacentral:rRNA from 1 species